UACGUAGGGUGCGAGCGUUGUCCGGAAUUAUUGGGCGUAAAGAGCUUGUAGGCGGUCUGUCGCGUCUGCUGUGAAAAUCCGGGGCUCAACCCCGGACUUGCAGUGGGUACGGGCAGACUAGAGUGUGGUAGGGGAGACUGGAAUUCCUGGUGUAGCGGUGAAAUGCGCAGAUAUCAGGAGGAACACCGAUGGCGAAGGCAGGUCUCUGGGCCACUACUGACGCUGAGAAGCGAAAGCUGGGGAGCGAACAGG
rnacentral:rRNA from 1 species